rnacentral:rRNA from 1 species
AUUAAUGUGAGAAUCAUUAACGCCGUAAACCCAAGGUUUCCUACGCGAUGCUCGUCAUCGUAGGGUUAGUCGGGUCCUAAGUCGAGUCCGAAAGGGGUAGACGAUGGCAAAUUGGUUAAUAUUCCAAUACCAACAUUAGUGUGCGAUGGAAGGACGCUUAGGGCUAAGGGGGCUAGCGGAUGGAAGUGCUAGUCUAAGGUCGUAGGAGGUUAUACAGGCAAAUCCGUAUAACAAUACUCCGAGAACUGAAAGGCUUUUUGAAGUCUUCGGAUG